CGUCAAUAUAGGCUCCAGUGGGGCACAUCAUGGUAGUAGCAUUGAUAGCCAGUGAUAAUACUGGUUGAUAAACAGGAAGAUGAUUCAUCUUGAGACUUUUUCUAGUCCAGUGACUCAAGCAGAAAUUCCAUAUGUAACUGGUAUACGUGUCUAAUUAGAGAUUCAUGAGAAAGUGCGUACACAUCACAUAGUGGCUUAUAAUAGUACAGUAUCAGUGAUCUCAUCUGGUCUAAUCCCUACCUGCUAAUCCAGCCAGGUUUUAGCAGGCGUCUAGGAAAGAAGUAUGGGCAGCGGACUCGAACAGGCUAACAGGCUAACGCUUACGCUACCCUAAUUUGGCCCCUCCGGGUUGUGGGACAGAGAGCCCCCAUGAGCUGUUCAUGCUGACCCGGCCUGCCUGCUGGGUGUGUGGGCCAGGUUGAUCAUGUGCACCACGAUCCUGAUCAUCUCGACCCUGUCAGUCAUUCUGCGCAGACGAUUCAACAACCGAGUCAAACCCCAUCCGGAUGAGCUGGGGGAGAAAGAGAUGGCAUACGUGCAGAGAGAACUGCAGCCCAUGGAGAAGUGAGGCUCCCCGACCUGUCAGGCAUCAGUUCCAGAUCCUCAGGCAGCAGCAACCAGUCGUGAACACACGGGGAAGGUGACCAGGCUGUAUGGAAGGAAAAGGAACAGGUGAGAGACCAAUUAUUCUCGUCUAGUCUUUUCUGAUUUCCAAACGUGUUCUCUAUAUUACUCAUCCACAUAACCGCAUGAAUAGCUACAGUUUGUCAUAAUUAUGAUUCAGCAGCAGUGCUAGGACAGUAAAUCAUUAAAUCUGUCUUCACAUCAAUAAUGGCUCUUUCUUUUGUCAGAUCGUUUAUAAUGCAGAGAGAAAUAAAUAGAUAGAUCAUCUUUCCCGUAGAUCAAAGCCUUCUCUGUUACAUGGCCAGCCCAAUGACACAGCUAGUUGAGGUUGAAGUAGCUUUUCAGAUAUUUGAGGUUGACUAAGUCAGAGAUGGUUUAGCCUUACAGGGUCGUGACUAGGGGCAGGAUGUACUGAAUGGCAAUGAAAGAGCCUUGCCCUAACCAGAGGAACUCUAGCACACAGGGCAGAGUAUCAAUGUCUCGACUCAAGUUGCAAAUACAGAAACCGUGUCAGUCACCUGAGACUGAUAAGAGGGUGUAAUCUGGCCAGAAACCCACAGCUCUGUUUGGGCCAAUUCCAAACACCAGUGGACAGGGACUGUCUGGGAGUCAGAAG
rnacentral:lncRNA from 13 species